rnacentral:rRNA from 1 species
GGAUUAAGAGCUUGCUCUUAUGAAGUUAGCGGCGGACGGGUGAGUAACACGUGGGUAACCUGCCCAUAAGACUGGGAUAACUCCGGGAAACCGGGGCUAAUACCGGAUAACAUUUUGAACCGCAUGGUUCGAAAUUGAAAGGCGGCUUCGGCUGUCACUUAUGGAUGGACCCGCGUCGCAUUAGCUAGUUGGUGAGGUAACGGCUCACCAAGGCAACGAUGCGUAGCCGACCUGAGAGGGUGAUCGGCCACACUGGGACUGAGACACGGCCCAGACUCCUACGGGAGG